rnacentral:rRNA from 1 species
UACGUAGGGGGGCAAGCGUUGUCCGGAUUUACUGGGCGUAAAGAGCGUGUAGGCGGCCACGCAGGUCCGUUGUGAAAACUGGAGGCUCAACCUCCAGCUGUCGACGGAAACCGUAUGGCUAGAGUCCGGAAGAGGAGAGUGGAAUUCCUGGUGUAGCGGUGAAAUGCGCAGAUAUCAGGAAGAACACCAAUGGCGAAGGCAGCUCUCUGGGACGGUACUGACGCUGAGACGCGAAAGCGUGGGGAGCAAACAGG